rnacentral:rRNA from 1 species
GAUGAACGCUAGCUACAGGCUUAACACAUGCAAGUCGAGCGGAAACGUCAUCGUAUGCUUGCUUUUGAUUGGCGUCGACCGGCGCACGGGACAGUAACACGUAUCCCAUAUGUCCAUCACUUGGGUAUAACCUUGCGAAAGUAAGACUAUAACCUAUUGUCAUCCCAAGAAUACAUUUGAAAGGGACUAAUGUUUUAUCGCUGAUGGAUGGGUAUGCGCCUGAUUAGCUUGUUGGUGGGUUAACGGCCCACCAAGGCAACGAUCAGGAGGGGUUCUGAGAGGAGGGUCCCCCAGAGUGGAACUGCGAAACGGACCAAACUGCUACGGAGCGCAGCAGUAAGGAAUACAGGGGAAGGGACGAUAGCCGGAACCAGCCAAGUAGGUUGCAGGAGGACGGCCCUAGGGAUUGUAAACUGCUUUUAUAAGAGAAUAAUGUAGGUCUCGGGAGACUUUUUGAAGGUACCUUAUGAAUAAGGAACGGCUAACUCCGUG